GGGGAGGAGACCGCAAUGCUCAAAUAGCCACCGUGCUGCCCACUGCCAGCCAGGUGCUGAGGAGCCCACUCGCCUUUCCUGCUCCAGGUGUGACCACCUCGUGCUCCAGAGCCCUUUGGUUGUGGUGAAAUGUCGACGAUCCUGAAAUGGUUUGGACGGGAAGAUAAGGAGAGAGAGGAGAAGGAAGAGGAGAAGAAGCAGGAGGCAGAGGAGGAAAAGGACGAGGGCAGCAGUGCCUGACUCGUGGUGUUCACAGCUGGUGGUUGACGCUGAGCCAUCUGCAGCCUGAACUCACACAGCACACGUGGCUUUUCCAUUGACAGCCAGCUCAGAGCCUGGCUCUUUCUAUCCAUG
ensembl:lncRNA